rnacentral:rRNA from 1 species
CCCUUAGAUGUUCUGGGCCGCACGCGCGCUACACUGACGAAUGCAACGAGCUUAUAACCUUGGCCGAAAGGUCUGGGUAAUCUCCAAAUUUCGUCGUGAUGGGGAUAGAUUAUUGCAAUUAUUAAUCUUCAACGAGGAAUGCCUAGUAAGCACAAGUCAUCAGCUUGCGUUGAUUACGUCCCUGCCCUUUGUACACACCGCCCGUCGCUCCUACCGAUUGAAUGGUCCGGUGAAGCGUUCGGACCGUGGCCUUUGGACGGUUCGCCGUCUGUUGGCUGCGGGAAGUUCGUUAAACCUUNUNAUUUAUNGGAAGGAGAANUCGUANCA